rnacentral:rRNA from 1 species
CCUACGGGAGGCAGCAGUGGGGAAUAUUGCACAAUGGGGGAAACCCUGAUGCAGCGACGCCGCGUGAGUGAAGAAGUAUUUCGGUAUGUAAAGCUCUAUCAGCAGGGAAGAAAAUGACGGUACCUGAUUAAGAAGCCCCGGCUAACUACGUGCCAGCAGCCGCGGUAAUACGUAGGGGGCAAGCGUUAUCCGGAUUUACUGGGUGUAAAGGGAGCGUAGACGGCAGCGCAAGUCUGAAGUGAAAUGCCGGGGCUUAACCCCCGAACUGCUUUGGAAACUGUGCAGCUGGAGUGCAGGAGAGGUAAGUGGAAUUCCUAGUGUAGCGGUGAAAUGCGUAGAUAUUAGGAGGAACACCAGUGGCGAAGGCGGCUUACUGGACUGUAACUGACGUUGAGGCUCGAAAGCGUGGGGAGCAAACAGGAUUAGAUACCCUAGUAGUC